GAUGAAGAACGUAGCGAAAUGCGAUAAGUAAUGUGAAUUGCAGAAUUCAGUGAAUCAUCGAAUCUUUGAACGCACCUUGCGCCUUUUGGUAUUCCGAAAGGCACACCUGUUUGAGCGUCAUGAAUGCCUCAAUCUCCAUCUUUUCUUCGGAUUGAUGGGUGACUUGGAUGUUGAGCCCUGCUGAUAUGCUAUAUCAGCUGGCUUUAAACUUAUUAGCCGGCUCUGUACUGGAUCGGUUUGACUCGACGUGAUAAUAUUAUCGUUGAGGAUGCAUGUCUCAUUCAGCCGGAAAGUAUCAAAGCAGCUUCUAGCUUGCCUUUAGUGCACUUUUACAUUUUAGACCUCAGAUCAGGUGGGACUACCCGCUGAACUUAAGCAUAUCAAUAAGCGGAGGA
rnacentral:misc_RNA from 1 species